CGCCAGUUUUGGCGGAGCCAUCCUUGGGAUACCACCCUUGUAGUACUGGGACUCUAACCAUAGGCCAUGAAUCUGGUCUUGGGACACUGUCAGGUGGGCAGUUUGACUGGGGCGGUCGCCUCCCAAAAGGUAACGGAGGCGCUCAAAGGUUCUCUCAGUACGGUCGGAAAUCGUACGUAGAGUGUAAAGGCAAAAGAGGGCUUGAUUGCAAGACAUACAGGGCGAGCAAGGAUGAAAAUCGGACUUAGUGAUCCGGUGGUUCUGCGUGGAAGGGCCAUCGCUCAACGGAUAAAAGCUACCCUGGGGAUAACAGGCUUAUCUCCCCCAAGAGUCCACAUCGACGGGGAGGUUUGGCACC
rnacentral:rRNA from 1 species